GUGAGUCAUCGAAUCUUUGAACGCAUAUUGCGCCUGCUGGUAUUCCGGUAGGCAUAUCUGUUUGAGCGUCAGCAAAAACCUCUCAGCUUUUAUUGCUGGUCAUGGGUAGGGGGGUUAUCUGAACACUUGGUUCUCCCCUCACCUUAAACUUGCUGCACGACCGCAAGCUACUUUAUGGCAAGGUUUAUGGAGUGGAGUUUACAAAUAUUUCAUACCAAGCCGUAUACCAGCUUCAGCGGCGUUAAACGUAACGUUACCCGCGACGGGUGACAGAAGUUUGACCUCAAAUCAGAUAAGGAU
rnacentral:misc_RNA from 1 species